GACAUACAUAUCAGGGUUAUUAGGACUGAGACAUACAUAUCAGGGUUAGAGUUAGUAGAACUGAGACAGACAUAUCAGGUUUAGAGUUAGUGGGACUGAGACAGACAUAUCAGAGUUUGAGUUAUUAGGACUCAGACAGACAUAUCAGGGUUAGUAGAACUGAGACAGACAUAUCAGGGUUUGUAGAACUGAGACAGACAUAUCAGAGUUUGUAGAACUGAGACAGACAUAUCAGGAUUUGAGUUAGUAGAACUGAGACAGACAUAUCAGGGUUAGUAGAACUGAGACAGACAUAUCAGGGUUAGUAGAACUGAGACAGAUAUAUAAUGGUUAGUAGAACUGAGACAGACAUAUCAGGGUUAGUAGAACUGAGACAGACAUAUCAGGGUUAGAGUUAGUAGAACUGAGACAGACAUAUCAGGGUUAGUAGAACUGAGACAGACAUAUCAGGGUUAGAGUUAGUAGAACUGAGACAGACAUAUCAGGAUUAGUAGAACUGAGACAGACAUUAUCAGGGUUAGUAGAACUGAGACAGACAUAUCAGGGUUAGAAUUAGUAGAACUGAGACAGACAUAUCAGGGUUAGUAUAACUGAGACAUGCAUAUCAAGGUUAGAGUUAGUAGAACUGAGACAGACAUAUCAGGGUUAUUAGGACUGAGACAUACAUAUCAGGGUUAGAGUUAGUAGAACUGAGACAGACAUAUCAGGUUUAGAGUUAGUGGGACUGAGACAGACAUAUCAGAGUUUGAGUUAUUAGGACUCAGACAGACAUAUCAGGGUUUGUAGAACUGAGACAGACAUAUCAGGAUUUGAGUUAGUAGAACUGAGACAGACAUAUCAGGGUUAGUAGAACUGAGACAGACAUAUCAGGGUUAGUAGAACUGAGACAGAUAUAUCAGGGUUAGUAGAACUGAGACAGACAUAUCAGGGUUAGAGUUAGUAGGACUGAGACAGACAUAUCAGAGUUUGAGUUAUUAGGACUGAGACAAACAUAUCAGGGUUUGUAGAACUGAGACAGACAUAUCAGGAUUUGAGUUAGUAGAACUGAGACAGACAUAUCAGGGUUAGUAGAACUGAGACAGACAUAUCAGGGUUAGUAGAACUGAGACAGACAUAUCAGGGUUAGAGUUAGUAGAACUGAGACAGACAUAUCAGGAUUAGUAGAACUGAGACAGACAUAUCAUGGUUAGUAGAACUGAGACAGACAUAUCAGGAUUAGAGUUAGUAGGACUGAGACAGACAUAUCAGAGUUUGAGUUAUUAGGACUCAGACAGACAUAUCAGGGUUUGUAGAACUGAGACAGACAUAUCAGGAUUUGAGUUAGUAGAACUGAGACAGACAUAUCAGGGUUAGUAGAACUGAGACAGACAUAUCAGGGUUAGUAGAACUGAGACAGAUAUAUCAGGGUUAGUAGAACUGAGACAGACAUAUCAGGGUUAGAGUUAGUAGGACUGAGACAGACAUAUCAGAGUUUGAGUUAUUAGGACUGAGACAAACAUAUCAAGGUUAGAAGGACUGAGACAGACAUAUCAGGGUUAGCAGGACUGAGACGGACAUAUCAGGAUUAGAGUUACUAGGACUGAGACAUACAUAUCAGGAUUAGAGUUAGUAGAACUGAGACAGACAUAUCAGGAUUAGAGUUAGUAGAACUGAGACAGACAUAUCAGGAUUCGAGUUAGUAGAACUGUGACGGACAUAUCAGGAUUAGAGAUAGUAGGACUGAGAGAGACAUAUCCCGGAUAGAGUUAGUAGGACUGAGACAGACAUAUCAGGAUUAGAGUUAGUAGGACUGAGACAUACAUAUCAGGGUUAGUAGGACUGAGACAUACAUAUCAGGGUUAGAGUUAGUAGGACUGAGACAGACAUAUCAGGGUUAGUAUAACUGAGACAGGCAUAUCAAGGUUAGAGUUAGUAGAACUGAGACAGACAUAUCAGGGUUAUUAGGACUGAGACAUACAUAUCAGGGUUAGAGUUAGUAGAACUGAGACAGACAUAUCAGGUUUAGAGUUAGUGGGACUGAGACAGACAUAUCAGGGUUAGUAGGACUGAGACAGACAUAUCAGAGUUUGAGUUAUUAGGACUGAGACAGACAUAUCAGAGUUUGAGUUAUUAGGACUCAGACAGACAUAUCAGGGUUAGUAGAACUGAGACAGACAUAUCAGGGUUUGUAGAACUGAGACAGACAUAUCAGAGUUUGUAGAACUGAGACAGACAUAUCAGGAUUUGAGUUAGUAGAACUGAGACAGACAUAUCAGGGUUAGUAGAACUGAGACAGACAUAUCAGGGUUAGUAGAACUGAGACAGAUAUAUAAUGGUUAGUAGAACUGAGACAGACAUAUCAGGGUUAGUAGAACUGAGACAGACAUA